rnacentral:rRNA from 1 species
GACGAACCGUGCGAACGUUGUUCGGAAUCACUGGGCUUAAAGGGCGCGUAGGCGGUUCGAAAAGUCCGUGGUGAAAUCCCCCCGCUCAACGGGGGAACGGCCGCGGAUACUGUCGGCCUCGAGGGGGGUAGGGGCGAGCGGAACGCUGGGUGGAGCGGUGAAAUGCGUUGAUAUCCAGCGGAACUCCGGUGGCGAAGGCGGCUCGCUGGACCCCCACUGACGCUGAGGCGCGAAAGCCAGGGGAGCGAACGGG